rnacentral:rRNA from 1 species
AGCUUGCUCUUAUGGGUGGCGAGUGGCGGACGGGUGAGGAAUGCAUCAGAAUCUACUCUUUCGUGGGGGAUAACGUAGGGAAACUUACGCUAAUACCGCACACCACCUACGGGUGAAAGCCGGGGACCUUCAGGCCUGGCGCGAAUGAAUGAGCCGAUGCCUUUUAGCUAGUUGGCGGGGUAAGAGCCCACCAAGGCGACGAUCGGUAGCUGGUCUGAGAGGAUGAUCAGCCACACUGGAACUGAGACACGGUCCAGACUCCUACGGGAGGCAGCGUGGGGAAUAUUGGACAAUGGGCGCAAGCCUGAUCCAGCCAUACCGCGUGGGUGAAGAAGGCCUUCGGGUUGUAAAGCCCUUUUGUUGGGAAAGAAAAGCAGCCGGUUAAUACCCGGUUGUUCUGACGGUACCCAAAGAAUAAGCACCGGCUAACUUCGUGCCAGCAGCCGCGGUAAUACGAAGGGUGCAAGCGUUACUCGGAAUUACUGGGCGUAAAGCG